CGUAUUGACUGCAUCGCGUGUCGCCCUUUUCCGGUUGAUCCUGCCGGACCCGACUGCUAUCAGAAUAGGACUAAGCCAUGCGAGUCAACGUACAGAUAGUAGCAAUACUAUGUAUGUACGUGGCAUACGGCUCAGUAACACGUAGUCAACAUGCCCAGGGGACGUGGAUAACCUCGGGAAACUGAGGAUAAACCGCGAUAGGCCAAGGCUUCUGGAAUGAGCCAUGGCCGAAAUCUACAUGGCCUUUGGAUUGGACUGCGGCCGAUCAGGCUGUUGGUGAGGUAAUGGCCCACCAAACCUGUAACCGGUACGGGCUUUGAGAGAAGGAGCCCGGAGAUGGGCACUGAGACAAGGGCCCAGGCCCUAUGGGGCGCAGCAGGCGCGAAACCUCUGCAAUAGGCGAAAGCCUGACAGGGUUACUCUGAGUGAUGCCCGCUAAGGGUAUCUUUUGGCACCUCUAAAAAUGGUGCAGAAUAAGGGGUGGGCAAGUCUGGUGUCAGCCGCCGCGGUAAUACCAGCACCCCGAGUUGUCGGGACGAUUAUUGGGCCUAAAGCAUCCGUAGCCUGUUCUGCAAGUCCUCCGUUAAAUCCACCCGCUUAACGGAUGGGCUGCGGGGGAUACUGCAGAGCUAGGAGGCGGGAGAGGCAAACGGUACUCAGUGGGUAGGGGUAAAAUCCAUUGAUCUACUGAAGACCACCAGUGGCGAAGGCGGUUUGCCAGAACGCGCUCGACGGUGAGGGAUGAAAGCUGGGGGAGCAAACCGGAUUAGAUACCCGGGUAGUCCCAGCUGUAAACGAUGCAGACUCGGUGAUGGGUUGGCCUCGAGCCAACCCAGUGCCGCAGGGAAGCCGUUAAGUCUGCCGCCUGGGGAGUACGGUCGCAAGACUGAAACUUAAAGGAAUUGGCGGGGGAGCACCACAAGGGGUGAAGCCUGCGGUUCAAUUGGAGUCAACGCCGGGAAUCUUACCGGGGGCGACAGCAGAGUGAAGGUCAAGCUGAAGACUUUACCAGACAAGCUGAGAGGAGGUGCAUGGCCGUCGCCAGCUCGUGCCGUGAGGUGUCCUGUUAAGUCAGGUAACGAGCAAGAUCCCUGCCUCUAGUUGCUACCACUGCUCUCAGGAGCAGAGGGGCUAAUUAGAGGGACCGCCGCCGCUGAGGCGGAGGAAGGAGGGGGCUACGGCAGGUCAGUAUGCCCCGAAACCCUCGGGCCACACGCGGGCUGCAAUGGUAAGGACAGCGGGCUCCGAUCCCGAAAGGGGGAGGCAAUCCCUCAAACCUUACCACAGUUAUGAUUGAGGGCUGAAACUCGCCCUCAUGAAUAUGGAAUCCCUAGUAACCGCGCGUCAACAUCGUGCGGUGAAUACGUCCCUGCUCCUUGCACACACCGCCCGUCGCUUCACCGAAGCUGGUUCUUGGCGAGGUGGCGCCUAAUUGGCGCUAUCGAACCUGGGGUCAGCAACGGGGGAGAAGUCGUAACAAGGUAACCAAGGGCGACACGCGAUGCAGCGAGCCUCAGACACUC
rnacentral:rRNA from 1 species